rnacentral:rRNA from 1 species
UGGUAAUGCCGGAUGCUCCAUCACACUGCAUGGUGUGUUGGGAAAGCCUUUGCGGCAUGGGAUGGGGUCGCGUCCUAUCAGCUUGAUGGCGGGGUAACGGCCCACCAUGGCUUCGACGGGUAGCCGGCCUGAGAGGGCGACCGGCCACAUUGGGACUGAGAUACGGCCCAGACUCCUACGGGAGGCAGCAGUGGGGAAUAUUGCACAAUGGGCGCAAGCCUGAUGCAGCGACGCCGCGUGAGGGAUGGAGGCCUUCGGGUUGUAAACCUCUUUUGUUAGGGAGCAAGGCAUUUUGUGUUGAGUGUACCUUUCGAAUAAGCACCGGCUAACUACGUGCCAGCAGCCGCGGUAAUACGUAGGGUGCAAGCGUUAUCCGGAAUUAUUGGGCGUAAAGGGCUCGUAGGCGGUUCGUCGCGUCCGGUGUGAAAGUCCAUCGCUUAACGGUGGAUCCGCGCCGGGUACGGGCGGGCUUGAGUGCGGUAGGGGAGACUGGAAUUCCCGGUGUAACGGUGGAAUGUGUAGAUAUCGG